rnacentral:rRNA from 1 species
CGGAGGUCCGGCGUUAUCGGAUUAUUGGUUAAGGAGCGUAGCCGCUUUGUAAGCGUGUUGUGAAUUUGCCGGCUCAACCGGUAACUUGCAGCGCGAACUGCAGAGCUUGAGUGUGCGCAACGUUGGCGGAAUUCGUCGUGUAGCGGUGAAAUGCUUUAGAUAUGACGAAGAACUCCGAUUGCGAAGGCAGCUGACGGGAGCACUACUGACGCUGAAGCUCGAAAGUGCGGUAUCGAACAGGAUU